GACGAACGCUGGCGGCGUGCUUAACACAUGCAAGUCGAACGAAGUGGCGAACGGGUGAGUAACGCGUAAUCAACCUGCCCUUCCGAGGGGGACAACAGUUGGAAACGACUGCUAAUACCGCAUACUGAAGGAGGUGAUUGCGUCUGAUUAGCUCGUUGGAGGGGUAACGGCCCACCAAGGCGAGGAUCAGGAGCCGUGGUGGGAGGAUGAGCGGCCACAUUGGGACUGGGACACGGGCCAGACUCAUACGGGAGGCAGCAGUGGGGAAUCGUCCGAAAUGGAAGAAAGCCUGACGGAGCAACGCCGCGUGAGUGAUGACGGCCUUCGGGUUGUAAAGCUCUGUUAAUCGGGACGCGGUACCGGAAUAGAAAGCCACGGCUAACUACGUGCCAGCAGCCGCGGUAAUAC
rnacentral:rRNA from 1 species